AUCCAGCUGAUGAGUCCUAAAUAGGAUGAAAAGUGCGUCCUGAAU
rnacentral:hammerhead_ribozyme from 1 species